GAUGAACGCUAGCGGCAGGCUUAACACAUGCAAGUCGAGGGGUAGAAGGAGCUUGCUCCUUUGAGACCGGCGCACGGGUGCGUAACGCGUAUGCAAUCUACCUUUUGCAGAGGGAUAGCCCAGAGAAAUUUGGAUUAAUACCUCAUAGUAUGUGAGGAUGGCAUCAUUUUCACAUUAAAGUCACAACGGCAAAAGAUGAGCAUGCGUCCCAUUAGCUAGUUGGUAAGGUAACGGCUUACCAAGGCUACGAUGGGUAGGGGUCCUGAGAGGGAGAUCCCCCACACUGGUACUGAGACACGGACCAGACUCCUACGGGAGGCAGCAGUGAGGAAUAUUGGACAAUGGGCGCAAGCCUGAUCCAGCCAUGCCGCGUGCAGGAUGACGGUCCUAUGGAUUGUAAACUGCUUUUGUACAGGAAGAAACACUACUUCGUGAAGUAGCUUGACGGUAC
rnacentral:rRNA from 1 species